CCUCUCAUGGCGUAGUUGUUAACGCGCCCCAACUAGAGAUCGGGGAGUCGUGAGUUCGAUUCUCACUGAGAAGA
rnacentral:tRNA from 1 species